UUCUCCCUCUGUUUGAGGUGGGUUUUUUUAAAACAGUAGUUUCAAGGAAUUUGUUUGCACUAAUUCACUCUUCACAAACAUUAAAGCCUUUCCUUUAUCUCUGAGAUCCUCUGUCAAAGUUGUCUGGCUGUGAAGAGCAUCAGAGUGUGCUUCUAACAGGAAAAAAAGGAAACUGGUGCUAAACCAUAAAAGGCACCUCUCUAGGAAAGGACAAGAGAAGGAUGGGAGUGUCUGCUCUGCCUGGAGACAGGAGCUGGGGAAGAACACUGAGCACUGAAAGUGAGCUCACAAAUCCAGAGAUGACCUGGAACAAUGAAAACAAGAGACUGAUUUGGUCCAUCAGCCUCAGUGUGGCUCUACAUGGCACAAGGACUCAACCUUCAGCCAGUUUGGGAAGAAAGGAUGAGAAAAAGCACAGAAGACAGGGGAGGAGGGUAAGUAUGGAAAGUAGAGAGCUGUCAGGACUGGAUACUGAGCUAAAAAAUCAGUGGGAGGGGAAGCCUUACCAGCAGCCUAGGCAAAAAAAAAAAAAAUUAUCAGAGGAAGAAUACAGAAUACUUGGAAAGGGCACUGGCCAGAGCAGGCUUUGGUUUUGUUAGUUAUGGACAGGAAACUCACAACCAAAGGUGGCUUGGAAGAGAAGGAGCACAUGGAUCAAAGAAGAGGAAAUGCCAUAGUGUAUUCACCAAGGCUCUGCCUGCUGUUGAAUAGCAGAGGGAAAGUAGAGCUUUUUGUGCUUGAAUAAGAAGUUUAAAGAAGUCUUUUAAGAACAGCGUAAGAAUCUAGUAAAAAGAAACAACCUGAAGUGAUUGUGGGCAGCCCCUAGCAUCCUGGAAUAAAAAGAACAAUAUAAAACACAGUCCAACAGAAAUAAUGGGGACGAUAGAGGGAGCCAAAUUAAUUCAAAAAAACAUUAGGUAAAAUUGGUACCAUAGCUCUUCUGACAAAAAGAGAGAUUAGGAGUCUUCAUUUAAAGUUCACAAAGCUCUUAGCAGGGCAGAGAGUGGGGAUACUACAAAGCUGUUUGACCCAGUGUCAAGAACAAGCAAAGAUGCAGCAGUGAGAUAAGCCACAGCUGGACAUGGCAGGAAUUCAGGGAGGAAUGUCAGCACAGAGCAAGACAGAACUGCAACAUAAACUCCCCUUACGUGGCCAGGGCACCACAAGUUAGCUCCAUGGAAGAGCUGGGCAUUAGUAGAAUUCUGUAACUAGCCCAGAGGAAACUGUGCCUGAGGAUUUGUCACCCCUAGAUCCUUCACACAGAGCUGCUGGUGUUUUACAGUGAUCCUGCAUGCUGACAGAGUGCCCUGAGCUGGCCUGCCCUCUCCUCUCACAGCUACUGCAGGGAGCUGCAGCUGGCUCAAUCCAGUGCAGGCAGACACAAUACACAAGAGAUCACAUUCUGUCUUGCUCAAGACCAAGUCUUGCAGUCAUUGUGCCUUGAAACACAGGCAGGGUUUCAGUGUAGCAUGUUGAUCUCCUUCAAACAAUAAAUGAACCAAGUCAAAAGCUUUUAGGGAAAACAGAUGCAAAGGCUGAACUUAGAAAGAUAACUAAUCAACCACUUAAAAAAUAGAGUGCAUUUUGGCAGAAACCUUGGUGAGGAAGGCAUAGGAAAUCUAUUUUCUGUGUGAAAUUUACAGCGAAGGAAAGCAAGGUCUGUGUCUGAAGAAAAAUCAGGUGUCUGAUGACACUCAUCUCCUGUGCCAUCCUCUCAGCCAUGCCAUUUCUCAAGUGACCCUCACAGACCCCCAAAGAGCACAGCAGUUGCCACACCAGAUGAGCCUGGUAGCCUUCCUAAUCCAGCCUUCUCACUCCAACAGUUGCUACCCUCUGAUACUUCAAAGAAAGGUGCAAGAAACCCCAUAGUGGACAAUUAUAGAAUAACCCGCCCACAAGGGAAGUUUUUUCCUAAUCCCUUGCCAUCAGUUAGUGGUUAUAUUGUGCCUUGAAGCCUGACAGUUUAUAUCCCUUCUAAAAUUUAUUUAUAUCCUGUCUAAUGUGACCAUGAAUGUUCUUGGUAUCCAUAUAAAUGUCUAAUCCUUUUCCGAAUCCUGCUAAUCUCCUGGGCUCAAUGAAACCUC